CGCCUGCCAUCUCCGCCAGCCCCCCCCCCUGCCCCGGACAUUACUACACGCACACACACGUCUCGCGCUCGCCUCGCAUGUAUUUGGGGCGGUCUCUCCCUCUGCUUACCGUUUUCCCGUACUUCCCUCUAUUCAAUGUCGCUGUCCACGUUCUCCGUCCGCGAUAUCGUGGCCACUCCCGAUGACGCCGAUGUGCUGCAAACCAGCCUGGAAGAGCUGUACCGACGCCGCCGCGCGAAGCGGCAGGAGGAGCGAGCGCGAAAGCGGUGGGAGCAGAGCCAGCUCCUAGACGAAGACGCGGGCAGCUGGGGCACCGCGCAGGAGCUCGCCUAUCGCCGUGAGGUGCUCCACACGUGGACGCGGCAGUACCCAAGGUUGCGAGAGGCCAUGGUAUCUUUGGCGGCCGCGUCGUCAUCGAACACCGCAGCCACCGCCCCUGCGGUAACCACUGCUGCGGCGUUCUCCGUCGCUGAAACUGUUCGUCCAUCGUACCCGACGCUGUGGCGGAUACCGGCGGGCACCAUCCCGGCAGACUUUUACACGCACAACACGGCCAUGGAAGUGUCGCAGCUGCUUUCGACGCCGCAGCGUCAGCACGCGACCACCGAUGCGGUGAAAGACUACAGCGCUCACUCGUGUCUGGUACGCGUCCGGUGGGAGCCGGUGCGGGUAACAGACCUGUUUAUUGAGCCGCCGCAGUCGGCAGCCGCGUCUUUUGUGCGGUUUUCGCAGCAUCCGUGUGGCAGCACUAGCCACGCCCAGCUUCAGCCGCAGCGCGUGUUGGCGCGGUGGCCCCAAGGCAAGCCGGCAUCCGCCAAGAUGGCCGCGGUUCUGCGCUCCAUCGGGAUCGAGGAGCGCAAGCGUGAGCAGUGGAACGAGCACUUGCGGCGGCGGCAGCAGCAGCAGCAGCAGAAACAGGAUGAAAGGGAAGCGCCCCAGCAGCGGCUGCGCGAUGGAGUGCGGGGCCGUCACUCCGCAGCGUCAGUGAAGCUUUUCGACAACCUUCCGAGUAGCGCAGGCGGCGCCGAACCCGCCACCGAGGCGGGCGCGGUGGACGAGUCCUACUCUGCAGUUACGGCGGCGAGUGCUGGUGUAGUCGUAGAAGACGGCGGCAGUGGCGGCGGCAGCGCUGCCUAUGCAUCUGAGAGCGCCUUGGGUCACGAGCUGUACUGGCCGGCACACAUCACCCGCACUCGGGCGCUCUUCACCGGCGCGGCAUGUCUGCAGGACACCUUCCACGGCCUCGGGCAGCUGCAGCGGUAUGAGCGGUUUGAGCCGGUGCUCGCCUUGGCGCUGGCAAGUCCGCUGCGCAUCGUUGUCGAUGUGGUCUACACCGUUGAUGAGACCAGUGAGGCUUUCGGCCUGUCCAUCGACCCCGUCGUCCAUUUCCACACGAUGACGUCUUCGGACGCGUCCAGGAACGUGGCAACCAGGCGAGACAGCGAUGCAGUGCGGAGCAUCAGCUUGGGUAGUGGAUGCGGCAGCAGCGCAAGCAGGCAUGGUAUCGCGGCUGAUCGUCGCGCCACCCUCUCGCCAUCCGAGAUAUCCUCCUCCAUGGCGGAGGACGAGUGCCCCGUGCUUCUGCCCUCGUCACUGCCGCCGGUGCUGUCCGACCUCAACUACGCCUUCACGGCAGCACCGACGGCUGCUAGUGCUGCUGCUGGCGGCGGCGGUAGUGCAGACAGUCGUCGCGCCGCCUCCCAGACGACGUCGUUCACAGACGACUCCACCACCACCAGCACGGCAGCGCUGCGCCGCAGCACCCUGUCCACCAGCCCGCUGUCCCUCUACACAAUUCUGGCGGGCCCUGCGAGCCAAACCCACUCGAUCGUGCUGCUACGCCCCACCCCGGAAGUCGUGUGCGCCGCCCGCGCACGCGCCUUACAGGAACUGGAACAGCGGUGGCUGCGGCUUCGUCAGGCCCUCGCUGACCGACUCGUCGCAUGCGAAGAGCAAGCGCCGACUGCAGUUCUUGCGCGGUCCCCAAUGCUGUCGCCUGCAGAUGUGCUUGCCGUGGAGCUGCCCGACGCCAACACGUAUGCCAGCCCGUUUAUCGACCGCAGCGCGCGGCAGGGCGAGGGGCUUCCUGCGGAGCCGGCCGGUGCCGAGUCGCUGACGGAAGAGGAGAUGCAGCGCCAGACGCGACUGCCGCAGCUGCAGGGUGGACAUCUGCCACGGCGACCGCUCACGUAUCAGGUUAGCGGCCCCCACGGCGUGAACGGAAGGCUGCUGCGGCUGUCCUCUGCCUCGCUGCAGACGCCGCCGGCAGACCCCGGCCUGCGCACGCGCUCACUGCCGAGCAGCGCGAGACGACCUUCGCGUGGCAGCGGUGCACAAGACGACGGGGCGUCGGCGGAAGCAGCGGCACUGUGGCCCGUGUCCACACCGCCAACGUCGUCACGCCCUCCGCAGCAGUCUCCGUGCACGUCUCAGCAGUCACACGCCCGGCGCGCGGAUCGGGGAGCCUGGAGCACAGAUGAAGCCGCAAGUGCCUCUGCUGGCGGUGAUGACGGGUGCGGCGCUCUCUUCCGUGGUUCAGAGCGUGUCUCUACCGCUGCCGCGCGACGCGGUGAUGCCGGGAUUCCGCGGGCACCGCAGUUGGCACGCUCCCCAGUAGACCCGAACUCCCUCUGCUCGCCGGCUUCGUGUGAGGGACUGGACGUGCCAUGCACCGAUGGGUCAUCCUCCGACCUGGAUGGGUUGCGCAGCGCACUCUUAUCGGAGGGUCGACGAGCGGCGACAGAGAAGAGUCGCACUAUCUUGGCCGCUGUGCGCACCAGCAAUGAGUGGCCGCGGGUCGAGGAGUCCAUGGCCCGGGCGCCGCAACAACCAGCCACCAUGCCACGAGCGCACCUAUCUGCCCUCACCCUUGAAGCAUCCCUGCCUGUGUCACCGGACGCAUGGCGGCUGGCGAAUGGCACCGAUCACGUUGGCAGUGCCGCAGCCCCUGGCUCUCCAAGGAAGGCGUCGCCAUCGUCGACGUCCCUGCCGUCCCGGCGCCACCGCCACAACGACGGCUCUCCGAUGGACACUGACACGGUCAUGCAGUUGGCCCACGACGACGGCGACAGUUCGCGGCAUCGCACAUGCAGCGCGGCGGAGCGGUACUCGGCCAUCUUGUCUGUCUCUGCACAAUCCGUGCCAGACUCCCAGCCGAUGUCGGCGCUGCGGGAAGUGAGCGUGACGUCGUGCCUCUCGUGGGAUGUGCGCAACACGAUGAACGACACCGCGAGUCAACAUAGCAGCACCGGCGACGGUGAUGGACGAGUAGCGCCGUACUCUGGUGGGAGCGGGGCAGCGCUGCCGACCUCGCCGUCACCGCAGCUGUGCACACCGACACCGACCUACCUGCCGCUCCCUUCGCGGCUCAACAAGAAUGGAGCACCUAAAAUACCCGAUCUAAGCACCCCCGACAUCGCCGUGACGCUGGUCACGCCCUACUCCACGGUGUCGAGCCCCACCUCCCCGCCACCACACGCGGCAUCGCCCAUGCUUCGAACAAAAUUUUUCACUCUUGCCGCAGCACCGCCGCACGCCGACGAUCAUAGCCAGUCGCCAUCUAGCGUACGUUACCCCAUCCUCCAGCAGCCCCCAGCACCCCUGUGUCACGCAGAUGCUGCCAGCGCUCGCAGCAGCACCAAAAACACGGCAGCUCAGCUCUCAGCCACGCGGCCGCCGGUAGCGCCGGCGGAACCCCCGCUGCAGUGCUCCCGAGCAGCGAGCAGCAGCAGCAGCAGCGAUGCGACCCGAUCUGUUCUCACCCACACAUCGCGGCCAGGGGAGAAGAUUUUAGGAGGCUGCACGAAAAACGAGAAGACACUCAGCGCAGUGCCUGCGCGUGGCGAUCCCCGCACGGAGGCCCGCUCGGCACCACAAGCGACGCGUUCAACUGCCUUGGAGUCCUCCAGCUCCAGCGACGAUGCCCCUGUUCUCAGCGGAACAGCAACGUACUCGUCCUAUAUCCAGGUGGACCCUCUCUCAUCUGUCGCUGUCGCCCAAGGAAUGUCCGCAGUUCGGCGAGCUGGCGCCGCUGCGUUGUCGACGCCUCAGACGCCACAUGUGGCGGCACGCGAGUUGCGUGGCGCUUCUGCCUCGACGCCCAGCACUCGCCCCUUCUCCUCGCCCACGUUUCUGAGCGAUAAGCGUCGCCUGCAGCUGCACAACUUAGAGCAGUCGCAGCGGGAGCCGAUGCGUCGUGUGUCACCGCCGCCGCCGUCUUCCUUGUCGACGUCGGCAGAGGCACGGGCACGUGUGCACCCGGAAUCGUCGUCACUGAGGCAGAAUGACGACGUCGCUGCCUUGAGCAUGGAUCUCCACCACACUCGCGGUGCUGCUCCUGGGACAGCGCCAUGUAUGAAAGCGGCGGUUGUGGAGGUGGGCCCGCAGCAGCGUCCUCGCCUCUGUGAAGGCGGUUCAGCAGGCGCCACUCGUCACAGCAGCGCCCGGCAUCGCGAGCACGCCUCUCCUCUCCAGAGCGGCACCGAUGCGGUGGAAGCAACGACAGCUUCAGCGAACCAUCGGGUGGGCCAUGGCGGCAGCAGCGACACUAGUGGCGCCGUGGAAAGCGACGGCAGUCCGCUACCGCGCCGCCCGCCGUCACUGGCGUCGUCGCCCGCAACAGGGGCGAACGACGGCGCACAUGAAGCGGCUUCACGCCCAAUGUCAGCGAAUUCAGCGGCGUCGAAGCCUACUGCUCCGUGUGCGGUGACGUCACAGCCGCCAUCGCAGCACACGGACGGCGCUGGCGCCACGGGUCUCGUCAGCGGUGAGCCAAGACCGUCGCAUUGCCCCCAAGCGAGUGCCAGCAGUCGCAUGCAUCACAGACGCCCAUCUCCUAGAGCACCCGAGACGGCAGCCGCCCCUGCGACCGAUGACAACGCAGAGGACUUGCCGCAGCGACAUCUGCAACGGCAGCAGCGCCAUGAGCGCGCCGGCUCUGUGUCGGUGGCGGUGUUGUGCAGUGAGCUGUCCGUAUCCGUCGACCGCGAAGUGGAGCUGCCGGAACAGCCUGUGCGCCUGCCGGAGGUGCCGACCCCACGCUCACCUCAGCGGUCUCAGCCGCAGCAGCAGCCAUACCUCGUCACCGUCAACGCGGCCGCUGCAAAGUCUGUUCGCUCCGGCGAGCCGGCCACGGGCCUUCACAGCCUCGACAAGUUCAUGCACUCGGGGAGGGAGGGCUUGCUAGAGGCACAUCAGCGGGCCACACGCGCGACACAAAGCCGCAAAGCCAGCGCGGACGUCCGUUCAUGGUACCGGCAGGCCCACCCGCAUCACCGCUCGCCUGGUGAGGCGGCGCAAGAGGAUUCGGCAUCCACCCUCUCCUCCGCGCCAUCCGCGUCGUCGUCGCCCUUACCGCUGUCGAAAAGCCGGCGUCCGGCGCAGCGCCCAUCGCGGCACGUGGGAAGCGCGGGCAGCGAAAAAUCGGACGCGGUGGGGCCGAGGGCACUGUCGACCUCAUGCAUGCACCACACCACCCCUCCGGCGGCCGCUGCAUCAGCGAGCUCUGCCCCCUCUGUAAACUUCAGCUCGCUCAUGUCCUCCGCGGCCCCCUCGCCGCGUGGCACGUCGCCUGCUCCCCAUCCAAGCGGUCGUUCCUCGCGAAGCAGCCGCGGCGGCGCCGGGGAGCUAUUGGUUCUUCGCCCCCACCGAAGCACAUCCUCCUCACAGCACAACCGUCGAUAUCACGAUCGUGCUGUUGCGCUCUCGCCGUCGCCGUUAUCCACUACGCGCAGGCACAGGGUCCUCGUACGCCGCGUGGUGCGUCGGCGCCGCAGCGAGGUGUUCGUGGAAGAGGGUGGCACAUUGGUGUACCGCGCCCCAAUGGCGACGCCACACCUCCUAAGCAGCAGCAGCGGCGGCAGUGGUAGAGGCGCUUCAGCGCCGACACUGCCGUCCUCGCCGCGGGACACGAGAGCUGCGAGAGCUCGCAAAACACCCAGACGGCACUCCCACACCUAGAAGCGCUGGCGCGGCAGUGGAGGUGCAACGCGCAGCAUGGACAGAGGCCACCGCGGCCGCUGCUGAAUCUCAUAGAUUGCAUGCUCGUCCCUCCUACCUCUCUAAUAUCACCUCAACGUCAUCUGCUGCCGAUGUCCUUUGCGCUCCGCUUCGGACUUCCACCGGCCUUCACGUGCACAUGCAACACGGGCGUGUAUUGCGACAUGCCGCCUCUCCCUGCGUGGGUGAGCAGGGAGAGAGGAGGGGGAGGGGGCGGUGGCACAGACGGCGCAGACGGCGGAAAACCCGUACAUCAUGUCAUGGCAAAAGCCAAGCACCACCGACGAAGAUAACCGAAAUCGACUCUGGUGUUGCCGAUGUGCAGUCUACACGCAUCCACACGACUACGAGGACUGAGGCACACACACUCCCACCCACCCACCCACCCACCUAUGCCGGCAGCUACAAUGCACGCGCAGUGUCAUGAGCAACGGCUAAUGAUGACCCUGACGACGCGGACGAUGAGGAUCGUGAGAGGGGCCCUGGGGACGGUGGCAUCAGAGACAGACCAAAGGAAAGCGGCCGCGCGAGCCGCUCCCAAAAACACUUACAUGCACGCGACAUGCCUGCCCCCUCCCGCGCCUCUCUGGCGGUCCUGCCCCUCCUUCUACGACGGGCCUUCGCUCGAGUACAUCUCUAUCCCCAUCACACCUUUCUCCCUCCCUCCUCUCUCUCUCUGCCCAUGUGCGAUCACCACGCCGACCAG
rnacentral:misc_RNA from 1 species